rnacentral:lncRNA from 1 species
AUUUUUUUCCCUGCCGCUACAGCUUGUAGCUGCAGUCCACUGUCUUUUUUGUCCGUUAGCUUAUUACAUUACUGCCCCUAACAAUUUAAUACACACCUGCCGCUACAAGCUCAUGCGGUAGGGGCUGAUAAAAUUAUUCCUAUAUUGGGAUCACAGAAUUUAUCUUCCAUUUAAGAGUUGAAAACACCAAAAUCUCCAUUCUCCGAAUCGUUUUUGUCUCAAACAUAUACUGGGUCUCCUCCACCUUCACAAAUCAAGAUUACCCAGAUUUCAUUUACGCAUUUUAAAAAACAUAACAUAUGCAUAAAAAAAUUCAUCAAGAUUUUGUUUUAAAAAAACUUACUUGGAGGUCUAUAAGCAGGGGAACUUGGGUCUCCUUUACUUUAGCAGCAAGGGAGAGACAAGAAACAGCAACAAUUUGGGUCAUCCAUUGCUUAUCUCCCUGGAACUGGAAGCUGAACAGGAAUCUAUCAAGAUAGUUCACUGCAAGAACAACAGUGAGAGCAGAAAAAGAGUAAUGGGCAACAACUUUGAGUAUCCAAUCCACCGCUUCCGGCACCGGGCCCAAGGUGCCUUUUUCAAGACUAUUUUAUUAGUAAAUAUUAAUAUUAUUUAAUAUUUUAAUUUAAAGUUUACUAUUAAUAUUUAUAAAUAAUAUUCAUAAUUAAUAUUAUUAUUAAUUUACUAAUAAUAUUCCUAAUAGGAAAAAUGAAGCAAAGGGCCAAGGAAAAAAGGGAUGCAGAAGAAAAAUGGGAAGGAUUGUCGUUACAGCCUGUAGCGGUAGGGAAGAAAAUGGGGAAGGUCUGCCACUACAACCUGUAGUGACAGAGUUGCUAUAGCAACCGGUUGUCAUGGAUUAAUUCACUAUAUAUAUAUAUAUAUAUAUAUAUAUAUAUAUAUAUAUGCACUUAAAUCAAAUUAAGGCUGAAUUCGCAGACAAAGAGAG